rnacentral:rRNA from 1 species
AGAUUGAACGCUGGCGGCAUGCCUUACACAUGCAAGUCGAACGGCAGCACGGGAGCAAUCCUGGUGGCGAGUGGCGAACGGGUGAGUAAUACAUCGGAACGUGCCCAAUCGUGGGGGAUAACGCAGCGAAAGCUGUGCUAAUACCGCAUAAGAUCUACGGAUGAAAGCAGGGGAUCGCAAGACCUUGCGCGAAUGGAGCGGCCGAUGGCAGAGUUAGGUAGUUGGUGAGGUAAGCUCACCAAGCCUUCGAUCUGUAGCUGGUCUGAGGACGCGACCAGCCACACGUGGGACUGACGACACCGGCCAGACCUCCGACGGGAGGCAGCGAGUAGGGAAU